AUACGGAGGAUGCGAGCGUUAUCCGGAUUUAUUGGGUUUAAAGGGAGCGUAGGCGGGAGCUUAAGUCAGCGGUUAAAUGGUGCGGCUCAACCGUGCCCUGCCGUUGAAACUGGGUUUCUUGAGAGUGCAAGAGGCGGAUGGAAUUCAUGGUGUAGCGGUGAAAUGCUUAGAUAUCAAGAAGAACUCCGAUUGCGAAGGCAGUCCGCUGGGGCACGUCUGACGCUGAUGCUCGAAGGUGCGGGAAUCAAACAGGAUUAGAUACCCUGGUAGUCCGCACGGUAAACGAUGAUUACCCGCUGUCGGCGGUAGACAGUCGGCGGCCAAGCGAAAGCGAUAAGUAAUCCACCUGGGGAGUACGCCGGCAACGGUGAAACUCAAAUGAAUUGACGGGG
rnacentral:rRNA from 1 species